AAUAAUUAACCAUGACAACUGUCACGAGAAAUUUUUUCAGUUUUUAAAUUUCUAGCGAACUUUCUUGCGUUGAAAGAAUCUUACGCAGUUUUCCUCUGAAAGACUACAUGACGCAGUUACAUGAAGCAAAUCAAAAAUCUACUUCUCAAACGUUACAAGGGGAUAAGAAAACGUUUGAUCUAAAUACUACAAUAAAGGACAAACCGUACGAAAGGCUGCUCCUAACUCGAGAUUAAAGUGCAAACAAAAUUAAUAUUAGACAUCUCUUCUAUUAACUAUUUGAUCGUUAUAUUAUAUACAAAAAUUUACAUAAAUUCCAUUACAAAGAUUCUAAAUUUAUGGUACUUGAUAAUCCGAAUAACAUGAAGCAACACCACAGUUGGAGUCGAAGAGUUUUGAAGCAGCUUGAAAUGCCACUAUGUCGAAACUUCCUUGAUGAGCUGACAUCAUCCCAAUUUGGUUGAGCGACAUGUUCCCCAAAAUGAGCUCCCUGUAAUAAAAAA